rnacentral:ncRNA from 1 species
GUGUUGUAUGAAAGGAGAGAAGGUUAGCAGUCCCCUUGACAAGGACAGAAGAGGCCCUUGGUCUUAACACACAUUUUUUUUUUGCUUUUUUUU